AUUCAUGGAACUGAAAACGGCUACAAAACGGCACGAACACCGCUAACCCUUACCUUCAGCUCCACUUCGACGCUUUGGCUGAAAUUGAAGCGCAUUCAACAAUUCGAACGCACAGUUAGACUGGGCUAUUUGCACGAAUGGUACCCCGUUCGUGCAUUCGAAUGGGACUUAGUUAUUUUUCAGUGUAAAAUGGAUCGACCGCACAGCCCAAAUCUAUGGAACUCUUUUGAGCAGGAAAGCCAUGCUUGCGGUCGGUCAAUAAGGAC